AGAGUUUGAUCCUGGCUCAGGAUGAACGCUGACAGAAUGCUUAACACAUGCAAGUCUACUUGAAUUUGGGUUUUUUAACUUCGAUUUGGGUGGCGGACGGGUGAGUAACGCGUAAAGAACUUGCCUCACAGCUAGGGACAACAUUUGGAAACGAAUGCUAAUACCUGAUAUUAUGAUUAUAGGGCAUCCUAGAAUUAUGAAAGCUAUAUGCGCUGUGAGAGAGCUUUGCGUCCCAUUAGCUAGUUGGAGAGGUAACGGCUCACCAAGGCGAUGAUGGGUAGCCGGCCUGAGAGGGUGAUCGGCCACAAGGGGACUGAGACACGGCCCUUACUCCUACGGGAGGCAGCAGUGGGGAAUAUUGGACAAUGGACCGAGAGUCUGAUCCAGCAAUUCUGUGUGCACGAUGAAGUUUUUCGGAAUGUAAAGUGCUUUCAGUUGGGAAGAAAAAAAUGACGGUACCAACAGAAGAAGUGACGGCUAAAUACGUGCCAGCAGCCGCGGUAAUACGUAUGUCACGAGCGUUAUCCGGAUUUAUUGGGCGUAAAGCGCGUCUAGGUGGUUAUGUAAGUCUGAUGUGAAAAUGCAGGGCUCAACUCUGUAUUGCGUUGGAAACUGUAUAACUAGAGUACUGGAGAGGUAAGCGGAACUACAAGUGUAGAGGUGAAAUUCGUAGAUAUUUGUAGGAAUGCCGAUGGGGAAGCCAGCUUACUGGACAGAUACUGACGCUGAAGCGCGAAAGCGUGGGUAGCAAACAGGAUUAGAUACCCUGGUAGUCCACGCCGUAAACGAUGAUUACUAGGUGUUGGGGGUCGAACCUCAGCGCCCAAGCAAACGCGAUAAGUAAUCCGCCUGGGGAGUACGUACGCAAGUAUGAAACUCAAAGGAAUUGACGGGGACCCGCACAAGCGGUGGAGCAUGUGGUUUAA
rnacentral:rRNA from 1 species